AUCCAACUGACGAGUCCUAAAUAGGACGAAACGCACGUCAAACUGGAU
rnacentral:hammerhead_ribozyme from 1 species